rnacentral:ncRNA from 1 species
AAAGCUUGGUUCUAGCUUAAAUUUUAGCUUUCUUCUAUCUGCCACAUGUAAGUUAUUAAACGAACCAGCAAGAGGAGUUAUAAUGUGAAACCUUCUAACUCAAUCUAUAAGUUAAAAUACCUAAAGAAGAUAUACCUUGCGACUGCAGUGCUUAGUUUUAUUAAAUCUGGGAAACCAGGAAAUAGAUAAGAAGAAAAGGGAUGGUCAAUAACGUGCCAGCAACCGCGGUUACACGUUAAUCCCUAGUUAAACCUCACCGGUUAAAGGAAGUAAAGCUCGGAAAACUAGCCAUGAGUAAAAACUCAGCAGUAAUAAGCUAAAUAAUAGAAAAAUAGCUAGGAAAGCUCAACUGAAAAAGUGAGGAAUAAACUGGAAUUAGAUACUCCACUAUACUCACUAGUAAACCCUAAAACACCAGAGUAGUACGGCUAAAGGCUAAAACUUAAAGAACUUGGCGGUUUUCUACCCCUUUUCGGAGGAGCUUGUCAUUGAAUCGAUAACCCACGAGGAACCUCACCACCCAAAGAUAAAUUCAGCUUGUAUACCAUCGUCGUCAGUUCACCUCUUUAAGAAAGUGAGCGAAAAGGAAUUACCCUCAACGUCAGAUCAAGGUGCAGCUUAUAGGGUGGGAAUAGAUGAGCUACUUUAUUUGUUAACAGAGAAUUUAGCAUUGAAAAAGUUAAUGAAAGAGGAUUCGAUAGUAAUAAAAGUAAAGAGAAACACUAUGAAAUCAGCUCUAGAAUGCGCACACAUCGCCCGUCACUCUCGUCAAACGAGGAGAAAAGUCGUAACAUAGUAGGUGUACCGGAAGGUGUACCUGGUUAAAG